rnacentral:rRNA from 1 species
GUUAAACAAAAAGAGCAUAGGGAGAAUGCCUAGCCACUGGGAGCCGAAGAAAGACGUGACAAGCUGCGAAAAGCUGCGGGAAGGAGCAAAUAUCUGAUGAGCCGCAGAUUUCUGAAUGGGGCAACCUGUCUGAGCAAAACUCAGAUAUGCUACAGCCAAUACAUAACUGUAGCAGGGGAACCCGGCGAACUGAAACAUCUAAGUAGCCGGAGGAAAAGAAAGAAACAUCGAUUCCGAAAGUAGCGGCGAGCGAAAUUGGAAGAGCCUAAACCACAGCACGAGUGCUGUGGGGUUACGGACUGCAAAAAGGGAUGUAAAAGCUACCCGAACGGAUUUGGGAAAUCCGGUCAAAGAGCGUGAAAGCCGCGUAGGGGAAAGCGGAUACAGCUUAGCAGGAUCCAAAGUACCAUAAGACACGGGAAACCUUGUGGGAAGUUGGGGGGACCACCCCCCAAGGCUAAAUACUACCCAGUGAGCGAUAGAGAACAAGUACAGUGAUGGAAAGGUGAAAAGAACCCCGGGAGGGGAGUGAAAAAGAACCUGAAACCCUAUGUUUACAAGCUGUGGAAGACUGAUGAGAAAACAAGGUCGACCGCGUACUUUUUGUAGAACGGUCCGGCGAGUUGCAGGUGCUGGCAAGGCAAAACACUACAGGUGGAAAGCCAAAGGGAAGCCAAGUCAAAAAAGGGCGUAAAGUCAGCAGCUGCAGACCCGAAACCGGGUGAUCUAUCCAUGUCCAGGUUGAAGUCUGCGUAAAAGUGGAUGGAGGACCGAACCCACAUCCGUUGAAAAGGGUGGGGAGGAGGUGUGGAUAGGGGAGAAAUUCCAAUCGAACCCGGAGAUAGCUGGUUCUCCUCGAAAUAGUUUUAGGACUAGCCUGAAUAAAGUCUGCCGGAGGUAGAGCACUGAAUUCCUGCGGGGGCGUCAAAGCCUACCAAGGGAUAUCAAACUGCGAAUGCCGGACAGAUGAUUAUUCAGAGUCAGACUGAACGAGAUAAGUCGGUCAGUCAAAAGGGAAAAAGCCCAGACCUACAGCUAAGGUCCCAAAGUAUACGUUAAGUGGAAAAGGAUGUGGGAUUUCAAAGACAGCUAGGACGUUGGCUUAGAAGCAGCCAUACGUUCAAAGAGUGCGUAACAGCUCACUAGUCGAGAGGUCCUGCGCCGAAAAUGUCCGGGGCUAAAACGUAACACCGAAGCUAAGGGAUACCGAAAGGUAUCGGUAGAGGAGCAUUUCUUAAAGCGAAGAAGCUGUACCGAAAGGAGCAGUGGAGUACAAGAAAGAGAGAAUGCCGGAAUGAGUAGCGAGAGUGGGGUGAGAAUCCCCACGGCCGAAUACCCAAGGUUUCCCAGGUAAAGCUGAUCUGCCUGGGGAGAGUCGGGACCUAAGGCGAGGCCGAAAGGCGUAGCCGAUGGACAACAGGUGAAGAUUCCUGUACUAUGCGUAAUCAGAAAUGUGGGGAAGCGGAGGUCAAAGCCGGACCCGGGAGAGCAAAAACCGGGGCAAGCAUAAAGGAAAGAGGGAGGAAAAGCCCCCUUAAAAAAGCCAAUAUGUUAAGCCAAGCGAACAAAAGUAGCAAAGCCGGAUAGGAAGCCGCCAAGAAAAGCCGCUAUAGCGUUACGUAUACCCGUACUAAAACCGACACAGGUGGGAAGGGAGAGAAUCCUAAGGCCGACGGGAGAAGCAUCGUCAAGGAACUCGGCAAAAUGACCCCGUAACUUAGGGAGAAGGGGUGCUGGAUAAAACCAGCCGCAGAAAAGAGGCUCAAGCAACUGUUUAGCAAAAACACAGGUCUAUGCGAAACCGAAAGGUGAAGUAUAUGGGCUGACGCCUGCCCGGUGCCGGAAGGUCAAGAGGAGAGGUUAGCGAAAGCGAAGCUUUGAAUCUAAGCCCCGGUAAACGGCGGCCGUAACUAUAACGGUCCUAAGGUAGCGAAAUUCCUUGUCGGGUAAGUUCCGACCCGCACGAAAGGCGUAAUGAUUUGAGCGCUGUCUCGACGAUGGACCCGGUGAAAUUGAAGUGCCAGUGAAGAUGCUGGUAACCCGCGCCAGGACGGAAAGACCCCAUGGAGCUUUACUCCAGCUUGACGCUGGGACACGAUAAUGCCCGUACAGGAUAGGUGGGAGGCAAAGAAAUAAGGGCGCCAGCCCUUAAGGAGCCGCUGUUGGGAUACCACCCCCGCAUUAUCGGGUUUCUAACCCUGAGCCGUAAGCCGGCAAGAGGACAACGUCAGGUGGGGAGUUUGACUGGGGCGGUCGCCUCCGAAAGAGUAUCGGAGGCGCUCAAGGGUUCCUUCAGGAUGGACGGAAACCAUCCGCAGAGUGCAAAGGCAUAAGGGAGCCUGACUGCGACAGCGACGGCUGGAGCAGGUAGGAAACUAGGACUUAGUGAUCCGGUGGUAGAAAGUGGGAUUGCCAUCGCUCAACGGAUAAAAGCUACCCUGGGGAUAACAGGCUUAUCACUCCCAAGAGUUCACAUCGACGGAGUGGUUUGGCACCUCGAUGUCGGCUCAUCGCAUCCCGGGGCUGAAGUAGGUCCCAAGGGUUGGGCUGUUCGCCCAUUAAAGCGGUACGCGAGCUGGGUUCAGAACGUCGUGAGACAGUUCGGUCCCUAUCCGGCGUGGGCGCAAGAGAUUUGAAGGGAGCUAUCCUUAGUACGAGAGGACCGGGAUGGACCGACCGCUGGUAUGCCUGUUGGAGAGCAGCUCCAUGGCAGGAGAGCCAAGUCGGGCCGGGAUAAACGCUGAAAGCAUCUAAGCGUGAAGCCCCCCCUAAGAUGAGAUUUCUCGCGCGUAAGCGUUAAGACCCCUUGAAGACUACGAGGUUGAUAGGGCGGAGGUGUAAGUAUAGAAAUAUAUUUAGCUUACCGUUACUAAUAGGUCGAGGGUUUAACCAG